rnacentral:lncRNA from 1 species
AAUUUAAUAGAAUUGUUGGAAUGAUAAAAAUGAUGAUGUUGAACCCAUGAAAGUUGAUUGAAUUGUGGGAAUAAAUGAAAAUAUUGUUGUUAAAACCAAGAAAUUUGAUUGAAUUAUGUGAAUGAUGAAAAUUUUGUUGUUAAACCCAUAAAAUUUGAUUGAAUUGUGUGAAUGAUGAAAAUGUUGUUGUUAAACCCAUGAAAUUAGAUUGAAUUGUGGGAAUGAUAAAAAUGAUGAUGUUAAACUCAUGAAAUUUGAUUGAAUUGUGUGAGUGAUGAAAAUGAUGAUGUUAAACCCAUGAAAUUGGAUUGAAUUGUGGGAAUGAUGAAAAAGAUGGUGUUAAACCCAUGAAAUUUGAUUGAAUUUGUGGAAUGAUGAAAAUGUUGAUGCUAAACCCAUGAAACUUGAUUGAAUGGUAGGUAUGAUGAAAAUGUUGAUGUUAAACCCAUGAAAUUUGAUUGAAUUGUGGUAAUGAUAUAAAUGAUGAUGUUAAACCCAUGAAAUUUGAUUGAAUUGUGGGAAUGAUGAAAAAGAUGAUGUUAAACCCAUAAAAUUUGAUUGAAUUAUUUGCAUUAUGAAAAUGUUGUUGUUAAACCCAUGAAAUUUUAUUGAGUGGUAGGCAUGAUGAAAAUGUUGAUGUUAAACCCAUGAAAUUUGAUUGAAUUGUGGGAAAGAUAAAAAUGAUGAUGUUAAACUCAUGAAAUUUGAUUGAAUUAUGGGAAUGAUGAAAAUGAUGAUGUUAAACCCAUGAAAUUUGAUUGAAUUGUGGGAAUGAUGAAAAUGUUGAUGUUAAACCCAUGAAAUUUGAUUGAAUUGUGGGAAUGAUGAAAAUGUUGAUGUUAAACCCAUGAAAUUUGAUUGAAUUGUGGGAAUGAUGAAAAUGUUGAUGUUAAACCCAUGAAAUUUGAUUGAAUUGUGGGAAUUAUAGAAAUGAUGAUGUUAAACCCAUGAAAUUUGAUUGAAUUGUGGGAAUGAUGAAAAUGUUGAUGUUAAACCCAUGAAAUUUGAUUGAAUUGUGGGAAUGAUGAAAAUGUUGAUGUUAAACCCAUGAAAUUUGAUUGAAUUGUGGGAAUGAUGAAAAUGUUGAUGUUAAACCCAUGAAAUUUGAUUGAAUUGUGGGAAUGAUGAAAAUGUUGAUGUUAAACCCAUGAAAUUUGAUUGAAUUGUGGGAAUGAUGAAAAUGUUGAUGUUAAACCCAUGAAAUUUGAUUGAAUUGUGGGAAUGAUGAAAAUGUUGAUGUUAAACCCAUGAAAUUUGAUUGAAUUGUGGGAAUGAUGAAAAUGUUGAUGUUAAACCCAUGAAAUUUGAUUGAAUUGUGGGAAUGAUGAAAAUGUUGAUGUUAAACCCAUGAAAUUUGAUUGAAUUGUGGGAAUGAUGAAAAUGUUGAUGUUAAACCCAUGAAAUUUGAUUGAAUUGUGGGAAUGAUGAAAAUGUUGAUGUUAAACCCAUGAAAUUUGAUUGAAUUGUGGGAAUGAUGAAAAUGUUGAUGUUAAACCCAUGAAAUUUGAUUGAAUUGUGGGAAUGAUGAAAAUGUUGAUGUUAAACCCAUGAAAUUUGAUUGAAUUGUGGGAAUGAUGGAAAUGAUGAUGUUAAACCCAUGAAAUUUGAUUGAAUUGUGGGAAUGAUGAAAAUGUUGAUGUUAAACCCAUGAAAUUUGAUUGAAUUGUGGGAAUGAUGAAAAUGAUGAUGUUAAACCCAUGAAAUUUGAUUGAAUUGUGGGAAUGAUGAAAAUGUUGAUGUUAAACCCAUUAAAUUUGAUUGAAUUGUGGGAAUGAUGAAAAUGUUGUUAUUAAACCCAUGAAAUUUGAUUGAAUUGUGUGAAUGAUGAAAAUAUUGUUGUUAAACCUUUAAAAUUUGAUUGAAUUGUGUGAAUGAUGAAAACGUUGUUGUUAACCAUAUGAAAUUUGAUUGAAUUGUGAAAAUGAUGAAAUGUUGAUGUUAAACCCAUGAAAUUGGAUUGAAUUCUGCGAAUGAUGAAAAUGUUGAUUUUAAACCCAUGAAAUUUGAUUGAGUUGUUGGAAUGAUAAAAAUGAUCAUGUUAAACCUAUGAAAGUUGAUUGAAUUGUGGGAAUAAAUGAAAAUAUUGUUGUUAAAACCAAGAAAUUUGAUUGAAUUAUGUGAAUGAUGAAAAUUUUGUUGUUAAACCCAUAAAUUUUGAUUGAAUUGUGUGAAUGAUGAAAAUGUUGUUGUUAAACCCAUGAAAUUAGAUUGAAUUGUGGGAAUGAUAAAAAUGAUGAUGUUAAACCCAUGAAAUUUGAUUGAAUUGUGGGAAUGAUGAAAAAUAUGGUGUUAAACCCAUGAAAUUUGAUUGAAUUUGUGGAAUCAUGAAAAUGUUGAUGCUAAACCCAUGAAAUUUGAUUGAAUGGUAGGCAUGAUGAAAAUGUUGAUGUUAAACCCAUGAAAUUUGGUUGAAUUGUGGUAAUGAUAUAAAUG